GGGGAUAUGGUCUAACUUGGUUAUGAUGCGUGGUUUGGGACCACGUUGUCCCGGUUCAAAUCCGGGUAUCCCCA
rnacentral:tRNA from 1 species